UAGUCCACGCUGUAAACGAUGAUCACUCGCUGUUGGCGAUAUACAGUCAGCGGCUAAGCGAAAGCGUUAAGUUAUCCACCUGGGGAGUACGUUCGCAAGAAUGAAACUCAAAGGAAUUGACGGGGGCCCGCACAAGCGGUGGAGCAUGUGGUUUAAUUCGAUGAUACGCGAGGAACCUUACCAGGGCUUAAAUGUAGAGUGACCUUUCUGGAAACAGAGAUUCUCUUCGGAGCAAUUUACAAGGUGCUGCAUGGUUGUCGUCAGCUCGUGCCGUGAGGUGUUAGGUUAAGUCCUGCAACGAGCGCAACCCCUAUCUUUAGUUGCCAGCGAGUAAUGUCGGGGACUCUAAAGAGACUGCCAGCGCAAGCUGUGAGGAAGGUGGGGAUGACGUCAAAUCAUCACGGCCCUUACGUCCUGGGCUACACACGUGCUACAAUGGUAGAGACAGAGGGCAGCCACCUGGUGACAGGGAGCGAAUCCUUAAACUCUAUCUC
rnacentral:rRNA from 1 species